rnacentral:lncRNA from 1 species
GCACGGUGAUCUUCUGAAAUGGACGGCCUCUCAAGCAGACUCUUCAGUUCUCCCGGCCGGAUACUAGUGGGUGCCGAACUCUCUGGCCCCUCCGGAUUCGGGGAUACCCUCCGUGAUGACACUUCGGGCUCGCCUGCCUCAUCUGGCGGCGCUGCGGACGGAGGCGUAUCGCUCUCCAUCAUCUCCGGAAGAAGGUCACCCGAAGAUGAACUCAUCUGAGAAGGCUGCAGAUCCGAACUGCAAUAUAAAUAUUUCGGUUACCCACAGAAGCACAAAUGAAGGUAUUUCCUUACUAAUUAACUUCCUCUUUCAUACUCACGGCUCGUUUGAGGGCUGGUCCUUCGGCGAUGAUUGCGCGCCCGGAUUCUCUCCGGACGCCGGACCCCCCGGUGAAGAUCUCUUCCCACGCUUAGGGGCUUUGGCCUCCGGAUCUUCGGAGGCGGUCCUCUUCUCCCCCUGAAGGGAGGGAUUCUUGGUCCCCCCCUCUUCAGUCGCCCCUUUGGGCGAAAUAUUAGCUCCUCUAUUUUCCCCGUUGCCCCCUUCUGUGGGCGCAACCUCCAAAAUUCUAACCAGCAUGGGAUCCAGUGCGGUCUUAGGGAGGGGGGCCGGACAUCUUAUCAGCCUUGAUCGCUCCACCCAUUCCUGUAAAGAACAAGUGGUCAGGAGGCGAACUUUAGAAAGGCAUAUAAACAGAAUGUCCGGACUCUGAGCUAUUUACCUGAGUAUUCGGGCGAUCGCGGCUUAGGCCUGCGUCCUCGGCUGAAUCCGGACACGCCACUUGCGGUCCGAAGAACAACUUGUACAUCUCCACAGGUGUCGCACCCAUAAAGUGUUGGAGAAUCUGAGGUCCCUCCAGGUUGAACUCCCAUAGACGGAGAGGACGGCGUUUGCGGGGCAGAACAUGCCUGAUUAGCAUAACCUGCAUCACUUUGAUCAGGUCAAUCUCCCUCGCUUGGAGGUCUCGAAUCCGGCCCUGUAGUGAGGGCACGUCUUCGGACGGCCCCCAAUUGAGCCCUUGGUUGACCCACGACAUUAGCUGGCGUGGAGGUCCCAGGCGGAAUGAAGGCGGCGGCUUCUGCUUGCUGCCCUUCGGAGCGGUGAUGUAGAACCACUCCUGCUGCCACAGUCCGAGUUCCUCUUGGAAGGAACCCUCGGGCCACGGGGCAUCGGCCUUUUUGCUUAUGGCCGCCCCGCCGCACUCCGCUUGACGCCCCCCGAUCAUCUUCGGCUCCACCUUGAAGGUCUUCAGCCAUAGGCCGAAGUGGGGAAUGACGCGGAGGAAGGCUUCGCAGACGAUAAUGAAUGCGGAGAUGUGGAGGAUGGACUCCGGAGCCAAGUCGUGAAAGUCCAGCCCAUAGUAGAACAGGAGCCCUCUCACGAAGGGAUCCAUCGGGAAGCCUAAACCCCGACGGAGGUGGGAUACGAAAACGACGUAUUCACCGGGCUCAGGGGCGGGCACGACCUGCCCUUGGGCAGGCAACCUGUGCGAAACCUCGUAGGCCAGGUACUUGGCUUGACGCAACUUCAAUAUGUCCUCCUCCAUGACGGAGGAAAGCAUCCACCGGCCCUGGAGGUCGGAGCCGGACAUGGUUGAGGAUCCGAAGCGCUCGAAUCUGAGGCUCUGGGUGUUGGAACUAGGAGCGGAGAAGAGAUUCGAUGCGAGAUUGAAGAACAAGGACAGGCCUUGGUCCUCUUAUAAAGGGGAAGAAAUACCAAGGGCCGUCUCCGUGACCGUUUGGGAUUACCCUUCGAUAGAGGAGGUGUGGCGACGGGAACGGUUGGGUUACCCACGCAUGUAUUGAUGAGGAUCCCGGAAUAAGGGGAACACGAUCUCUGCUACGACAAGACGUGCCAAGGAAACCGCUUCGCUAAACGUGCUGAGGUGGUAUAGUAAAAAAAUGAUUCAAACAAGGACUUGGUGGUGGUGUGAUGUCACGCCGCAUAAUACGUCAGCAGAUUGAGCUAGUGUAUAUUUUAUUCUCUCUACGGUGGAAUGUGGAAGUUAUUUUUUGCAGAGCCGGACACUAUCCUGGUGUUCAUGAUCUUCUCUGGAUUAUUCAAGGGAGGAACCCGCCUUGCAAUGCCGAACAUAAUGCGCGCCGGACUUAUCGUCAUUGAAGACUGGUUCAGGGGCUACUGAGGGAGUCCUGGACUAGGGGGUGUCCGGACAACCGGACUAUCAUUAUCCGUCGGACUCCAAGACUACGAAGAUAGAAGAUUGAAGACUCCGGCUCGUGUCCGGAUGGUACUUUCCUUGGCGUGGAAGGCAAGCUUGGCAAUACGGAUAUGUAGAUCUCCUACCAUUGUAACCGACUCUGUGUAACCCUAGCCUCCUCCGGUGUCUAUAUAAACCGGAGGGCUUUAGUCCGUAGGACAACAUACAUUACAACAAUCAUACCAUAGGCUAGCUUCUAGGGUUUAGCCUCCUUGAUCUCGUGGUAGAUCUACUCUUGUACUACCCAUAUCAUCAAUAUUAAUCAAGCAGGACGUAGGGUUUUACCUCCAUCGAGAGGGCCCGAACCUGGGUAAAACAUUGUGUCCCUCGUCUCCUGUUACCAUCCGCCUAGACGCACAGUUCGGGACCCCCUACCCGAGAUCCGCCGGUUUUGACACCGACAUGAGGCGUUAAAUUUGCAUUUGAUAUUGUGGGAACAAUAUGUCUUGUAAUAUUUGUUUCGGGAUUUUGCAAUUUUCUUCCUAUUUGCUUUAUGUUCUGCGUUGACAGAGCCCGGCCCCGCUCAUACCUCAACCACCGUUGGGCUGACCGUAGACCAGGACGGACCAAGGAGUGAAGGGCUACGUGACCAGUUAGGCUCCUGAGUCGGGAUGCUCAGGAAUCCCCCUUGACGCACAAACAGCUAAUAGGGAGGAGACGCGAGGAUAGGUAAUGUUCUACGUCGGCAGAGCCCAGCCCCGCACAUACCUCAACCGCCAUUGGGCCGACCGGAGACCAGGACGGAGCAAGGAGUGAGGGGCUACGCGACCAGUUAAGCUCCUGAGUCGCGAUGCUCAGGACUCCCCCUUGACAUGCAAACAAUCUCCAUACCUUUGCCCUCGCCGAGGCUCCGCUCGGGAGGGGUGCGCGAUGACCAGGUCCGGGAGACCUGUUUGGCGGCGUACGCUUGGGCGUGACCGAGCGCAGCCCCGUGCCCAGCCCCCUCGCACGGCUCUCCUGAGGGGAGGCGUUGCGGUGAGGCCGGAGGCUGAGCUCUGGGGCUCCCUGAGGUUGGUACAGCCGUGAGUGCGGAGCAUAGUGCUUUCGGUUGUGCAUGGGCAUAGCCUCUCCUCGGUAGUGUCGACGGCCAGCACGAAGCAUGGUGCUUCCACUUGGGCAUGGGAGGGGGACUCCCUACUGCGGAGAGCCGCCGGGGCAUGUACAGCCCCGCCCUGACAUGUGGCUUGCACGGUAGGGCUGCGAGGUGUAUCUAGGCACUCGUGAGCCAGCGCGGGACACACAAGGCCCUACCUCAAGUCGGGUUGCACUUGGUCUUGGUUCUUGUUUGCUAUGUUAGCCCUGAGAGGUGGUUAGACAAUCACGCGCCGGACAAGUCUCGUGAGGUUAUCGCGUGAGAGGGCCAAGCACCAACGGCCCCAGGAGGUGACGUGAACGGGGUCGGCCGCCAGAUAGAGCUCAGCCGCUGGAUUUAUCGAUGUUGCAGGGACGGGCCCGAGCACAGAUGUCGUGCCUAACCCACUCACGCGAAGGAUCCUAAAGAAAGAUGGCCGGCGCGUGGCCCCUAUGGUGGGUGACGAUCGAGUAGGUGAUAGUCAUAGAUAGAUUAAGUAUGGGAAACGAACUGGCUUAAGUAAAUGCAAGGGAGAUACAUGCCACUAGGUCAGGCUCGAGCGGCUUGGGGAUGAUGCAGCCCGAGGGGCGCCCCCAGCAAGGUAAGCUAAAGACAUAAGAAAAAGGAUACAUGCCACAGGGACGGACCCACGCGACCUGGGAAUGAUGCAGCCCGAGGGGCGCUCCCAACUGAACAAACUCGGAAAAUGUCACCUAGUUCUGUCGAUGAAGAGAUGACAGGGCAGCUGAAGGUACGCGAUGAAGGGGUUGCUCCUCACGAGCCACCGGGGCCUUGAGCCUCGGGAGGCUCUGGGGGCCCAGGCGGUUCCUUGAGGACCGUCUCCAGAGGGAAACAUGCCACGAAGCACGCCUCCAAGUGGUGCUCGAGCGCCUCCCUCAUGAGGUUGGCAAGGUCUGAGGCCCUCGAGAAGGGAGCCCCCGAGCCCUGCCCGAGGAGGGCGCCGGGCGCGCUUUCCUAUGCGAUGGAGGGAGGCUCCCCAGGUGUAGGCGCCGAUCCUGGCGAGGCGCCGCUGGCCUGAGGUCCUGCGUGGAGUAGCUGCUUCUUCUUCUUGGGGGUGGUCUCAGGAGGACGCUCGCCCUUGCUGUCUGGGGCAUCGAUUGCUGUAGCUUGGAAGGCACGCUCGAAGGAGCACACCGCGUCUCUUCCUUCACAUGGAACUGUGAUGAUUCCGCCGCUUCCUGGCAUCAUGAGGACGUUGUAGCCGUGAUGGGUCACCGCCAUGAACUUGGCCAGGGCCGGAUACCCGAGGAUGGCAUUGUAUGGUAAGAGAAUGUGGGUGAGGGAGUCCUGGACUAGGGGGUGUCCGGAUAGCCGGACUAUCAUCGUCAGCCGGACUCCAAGACUAUGAAGAUACAAGAUUGAAGACUUCGUCCCGUGUCCGGAUGGGACUUUCCUUGGCGUGGAAGGCAAGCUUUGCGAUACGGAUAUGUAGAUCUCCUACCAUUGUAACCGACUCUGUGUAACCCUAGCCCUCUCCGAUGUCUAUAUAAACCGGAGGGUUUUAGUCCGUAGGACACACAACCAUUACAACAAUCAUACCAUAGGCUAGCUUCUAGGGUUUAGCCUCCUUGAUCUCGUGGUAGAUCCACUCUUGUAAUACCCAUAUCAUCAAUAUCAAUCAAACAGGAGUAGGGUUUUACCUCCAUCGAGAGGGCCCGAACCUGGGUAAAAACAUCGUGUCCCUUGUCUCCAGUUACCAUCCGCCUAGACGCACAGUUCGGGGCCCCCUACCCGAGAUCCGCUGGUUUUGACACCGACAUUGGUGCUUUCAUUGGGAGUUCCUCUGUGUCGUCACCGAUAGGCUUGAUGGCUUCUUCAAUCAACAACAACACCGUCCAGGGUGAGACUUUUCUCCCCGGACAAAUCUUCGUAUUCGGCGGCUUCGCACUGCGGGCCAAUUCGCUUGGCCAUCUGGAGCAGAUCGAAAGCUACGCCCCUGGCCAUCAGGUCAGGUUUGGAAGCCUAAACUUCACGGCCAACAUCCGCGGAGACUUUAUCUUCGAUGGAUUCGAGCCACAGCCGAGCGUGACGCGCUUUCACAAUGGGCACGAUUUAGCUCCGCCGCCGGACAGUACCUUGGAGGCCGCACACGGAUCCGCUCCGACCCAUAGUUCGGGGCCGACCGCGCAGAUCAAGGACAGGUGGCUAGACACCGCCUCGGGAGCUGCAACUUCUACGGCGAUGGAGCCGAAUACUAACCUUGUCCCUUAUAAAGCUCGUGACUCCGAGGCGCCGGACUCCUUGCCGGACUCCGAACCUCCUGUGCCCCUGCCAAUCGAAUCCGAUUGGGCGCCGAUCAUGGAGUUCACCGCCGUGGACAUCUUUCAGCACUCACCCUUUGGCGACAUCCUAAAUUCGCUAAAGCAUCUCUCGUUAUCAGAAGAAUCCUGGCCGGACUGUGGUCAGGAUGGUUGGUGAGGGAGUCUUGGACUAGGGGGUGUCCGGACAGCCGGACUAUCAUUAUCCGCCGGACUCCAAGACUACGAAGAUAGAAGAUUGAAGACUCCGUCUCGUGUCUGGAUGGUACUUUCCUUGGCGUGGAAGGCAAGCUUGGCAAUAUGGAUAUGUAGAUCUCCUACCAUUGUAACCGACUCUGUGUAACCCUAGCCUCCUCCGGUGUCUAUAUAAACCGGUGGGCUUUAGUCCGUAGGACAACAUACAUUACAACAAUCAUACCAUAGGCUAGCUUCUAGGGUUUAGCCUCCUUGAUCUCGUGGUAGAUCUACUCUUGUACUACUCAUAUCAUCAAUAUUAAUCAAGCAGGACGUAGGGAUUUACCUCCAACGUAGAGGGCCCGAACCUGGGUAAAACAUUGUGUCCCUCUUCUCCUGUUACCAUCCGCCUAGACGCACAGUUCGGGACCCCCUACCCGAGAUCCGCCGGUUUUGACACCGACAUUGGUGCUUUCAUUGAGAGUUCCUCUGUGUCGUCACCGAUAGGCUUGAUGGCAUCUUCAACCAACAACGCUGUCCUGGGUGAGACUUUUCUCCCCAGACAGAUCCUCGUAUUCGGCGGCUUCGCACUGCGGGCCAAUUCACUUGGCCAUCUGGAGCAGAUCGAAAGCUACGCCCCUGGCCGUCAGGUCAGAUUCGGAAGCUUAAACUUCACGGCCGCUGUCCAUGGAGACUUGAUCUUCGACGGACUCGAGCCACUGCUGAGCGCGCCGCACUGUGACGAUGGGCAUGAUCUAGCUCUGCUGCCGAACAGUGCCUUGGUGGCCGCACACGGAUCCGCUCUGGCCAUUAGCCCGGAGCCGAUCGCCCAGAUCGAGGGCCGGUGGGUAGACGCCGCCCUGGGGGCUUCAACAUCCACGGCGAUGGAGCCGAACACUAAUCCUGUCCCCUGCGAAACUCGUGAUCCUAAGGCGCCGGACUCCUCGCCGGACUCCGAACCUCCCGCGCCCCUGCCAGUCGAUCUAGAUUGGGCGCCGGUUAUGGGAUUCACCGCCCCGGACAUCUUCCAGUACUCGCCUUUUGGCGAUAUCUUGAAUUCACUAAAGCAUCUCUCGUUAUCAGGAGAGUCCUGGCCGGACUAUGGCUAGGAUUGUUGGGGUUCGGACGACGAAGAAAUUCAGAUCCCACCCACCACCCACUUUGUAACCACUGUAGAUGAUCUAACCGACAUGCUAGACUACGACUCCGAAGACAUCGACGCUAUGGACGACGAUGCCGGAGACGAAGAAAAAACAGAGCUUAUACAGCACGACAGGACCACCUCGUCGCAUGACAUAUAUAUGGUGGACACCCCAAAUGGGAGCGAUAACGAGGACCAACGGGCCGCGGCAGAAGAUGACCCCGCCGAUAAACGACCAAAACGACGGCGUAGACGCCGCCCUAAGUCCUGCCUCAACAACAACAACGCUCCCAAGGAGCCCACGAUACAGCAGGACUCACAAUCGGACGACGAACAUGCAAAUAAGCAACCGUCCGAACAUGACGAGUCAGAUAAUCAAUCCAAGCCCGGCGAGAACAACAGUCCGGACGACCGUAUGCCGGACACGUCGCCGGAGAGCAAGAACCUUCGGAAAAGACUCGUCAGUACUGCAAGAAGCCUGAAGAAGGAAAAACGGAGGCUCAAAACAGCGGAAGACACAAUCAGAAUGAGAUGGAGCAAAGUGCUCAAAACCGCAGAUAAGUACGGCAAUGGCCACCAAUCAAAGAUCUACCCGAAGCGCAAGCUGCUACCAAAAUUCGACGAAGAGGCCAUAGAGCCUCCACCGUCCAAAAAUAAAGGGGCAGCCUGGUUGGAUAGACGGCCAGAUGACAGGCCAAAUUAUGAAGCGGCACCACACAUAAAUCCACCAACGAACUCGGAAGGAUAGAUGGCCCAGCCAGGUCCAUCUACGGGCCAAAGGAGAAGGCCCCAAGAAGCAAGGCAACACGUCAAGUGUCCGAUGAUAGUGGCACACACAAAUACAGGGGUGCCGUACACCCACUAUGUUUCACCGAUGAGGUGCUGGACCAUGAAUUCCCAGUGGGAUUUAAGCCCAUAAACAUAGAGGCCUACGAUGGAACAACAGACCCUGGAGUCUGGAUAGAAGAUUAUAUACUACAUAUACACAUGGCCAGAGGAGACGAUCUCCACGCCAUAAAAUACCUACCCCUCAAGCUCAAAGGGCCAGCCCGUCAUUGGCUCAAAAGCCUCCCAGAAAACACUGUUGGAAGUUGGGAAGAGCUCGAGGACGCGUUUAGAGCAAAUUUUCAAGGGACUUAUGUCCGUCCUCCGGAUGCAGAUGAUCUAAGUCACAUAACUCAACAGCCCGGAGAGUCAGCACGGAAAUUCUGGAACAGGUUCCUUACCAAAAAAACCAGAUAGUCGACUGUCCGGACGCCGAAGCCUUAGCAGCUUUCAAGCACAAUGUCCGAGACGAAUGGCUCGCCAGACACCACGGUCAAGAGAAACCGAGGACAAUGUCCGCACUAACAAGCCUCAUGACCCGCUUCUGUGCGGGAGGGGAUAGCUGGUUAGCAAGAUGCAGCACCAGCGACCCAAGUACAUCCGAGAUAAGAGAUGAAACGGAAAAUCACGGCGCAGAAAAGAGCAGCGCCGGAAUAAAGAGAAAAGCCCAAAGAGCACGGCAGUCAACGCCGGAUUCAAAAGCUCGCGGCCCAAUAAUAAAACACAGCCUCUAAAGGAUGACAGUGACGAAUUGUCCAACUUAAACAAGAUUUUGGGUCGGAUAUGUCAAAUCCACAGUACCCCCGGAAGGCCUGCAAAUCACACCCACAGGGAUUGUUGGGUUUUUAAACAGUCUGACCAACUAAAUGCCGAACACAAGGGGCUCAACGCGUCAAGCGAAGAAGAUAAACCCCACCAGCAGAGCACCGGAAAACAAAAGACUUUCCCACAAGGGGUCAAAGCAGUAAACUCACUUCAUGUGAUAAUACGGAAAAAUACUGCGGCACUUUCUAAAAAGAGCUUCGCGCGGUCCAACCCAGCAGACCGUAGAGAUUGGAUAUCAAAACCAAUCACUUUCGACCACCUGGACUACUCCAGAAGCGUUCGAAAUGUGGGACGGACUCCCCUGAUAUUGAAUCCCAUAAUAGACAGAUUACAAUUUACUCAUGUCCUAAUGGACGGAGGCAGCGACUUAAACUUGUUGUAUUCAAAAACAAUCCGUAGGAUGGGGGUAAACCCUGCUAAAAUCCGACACAGCCGCACUUCCUUCAAAGGAGUGACGCCAGGCCCUUACGCCAAGUGCACAGGCUCCAUAUUACUAGAAGUCGUGUUCGGAUCGCCGAACAAUUUUCGACGAGAAAAAUUAAUUUUUCACAUCGUCCCAUUUGAAAGUGAAUAUCAAGCACUCUUGGGACGAAAGGCUUUUGUCCGCUUCAACGCUAUACCGCAUCACGCGUCUCUUUCACUCAAGAUGCCCGGUCCGCGUGGCGUCAUUUCAGUGCGAGGGUCACUUAAAGACCCCGGACUCGGAUAGACGAAUCCGGCCUCAGCAGGCUAGGGGCUCCCUAGCCGCAUACCCUAUCACAGGGGGCUGCGCGCACAAAACAACUGCGGGUUCAUACACACCCCGCUUUAAUUAUUUAUCUUUCUUGUUUUACACAUAUUUUUCACACGAUUUGUUUUCGAACUAAACGUUCCUCUCUUUUUACAGAUGAACAAAGUGCACACCCGUCCAGGAUAAACGGCGCAACAGAGACACAGGCGCAGACGUGCAGUAGGGACCCGUUGUGAGGAUUCUUUUCAGAUUAAGACCCUGCGUAAACCUUUUUUACUGUCUCUUGUUGUUAUUCUCCCUUGGUUUCUUCCUAUAGCCAAAGCGGAGCCUGACGCUUUGGCAUCGGCCGCGUCAGAAGACCAUGCCCGUACCUGGACACUAGGGGCUUAGGGCAUCGUUCUGCCCAUUAUAAUAAAGACCGAACACCUUAGGGAGUGUUCGGCGUCUCGAGUUAGGCAUUAUAUGCAUCAGCUCCGAAUCAUGUCUUUGGUCAAAUGUUGGGUUUGCCCGGCUCCUGUGUUUUGCUGCCUUACGUUCCGUAUCAUCGGCUAAUGCGGCACCAGGAGAACUACUGCAAUUGUGCCCCAGUUCGGCUGGGCAAGCACCUCAGUAGAGAAAGACGAAAACUGACUGUCAUGAUACAGCGAGAGACUGGUCAACCACUCGAUCGACUACCAGAAUGUUUAGAAUUCCCCGCUUUGACGAAGGACCGUUUCCCGGUCAGGCACUUACACACCCCGAAUUCGGAGAUGUGCGGUGCCACCAGGGGCUAUAUCGUAGCCCCACCCUCGAGCUCCACUGGCUAAGUGAAAGUGAUAAAGCAUUAUAGUCCGGAUUGCCUAGUUCGCUACGCUACCACCUCCUUAAACAGGACCGAGACGUCGGAUUAAGUGUGAAAACACGCUAUUUUGCGAACACCCCCGCACCUUGUGCGUGGGGGCUGAAGCCAAAGACUGCCAUCUUUCAAGUUAUACAAAAGUAUACGUAAACGGCCGCACAGGAGAAGUUUUACUACUUGGGACGCACAAGUAUAAAAAGCAGUUGUAACAUAAUCAUCAAUUUACAAGCUAAUGCGUUCAUUUGAACGUGACAUUUUUCGAGCACUGCGACUCUAUUACACGAGCGCCACGCAUAACUUCCCCGAAGUAGUGCUCGGCAGGGAGCCGGUUUUCAUCCGAACCCUGGGCGGCAACAGCGGUGGCAUCCAUCUCCGGACAAUGCGCCUUCACACGGGCAAGAGCCAUCCGCGCGCCCCCGAUGCAGGCCGACCGCUUCAUCUCCUUUAUAUGCGGCACCGCUCCAAGGAAUUGCUGCAGUAAGCCGAAGUAGCCCGUCGCCUUGGACCUCUCUGGCCAGACAUGGGCAACGAUGUCAGUCAUGGCAAGUCCGGACAAUCUAUUUAGCUCGGCCCAUUCGGCCAACCGGUCCGUCAACGGAAGUGAGCGAUCCGGACUGUGGAAUUGAGACCAAUAUAGCUCUUCCGUCUCGUGAUCCUCCUGGCUCCGGAAGUGCUUAACGGCAUCAGCCGCACUUGCAGCUAAGUCCAUAUACGGAUCCUCCGGACUCCACAGCCGCUCAAAUUGAGCAUACUUUGCAUCCAUAAACCGGCGACGCAGCAGAAAAGGCUUGCCAGCCACGAUCUCUCCGGCCUGGCGCAGUUCCUCCUUCAUAGCCCGGUUUGCAGAGCUGGCAUCCUUGGCUUCGUCGGUGGCCUUCUUCAGGUCUUCCCGCUCCGAUAAGCGCUCCUCUUCAAGAGCCUCAUUGCUGUCGGUAGCAUCCUUUAAUUUCAUGGCCAAUUCGGCCACCUUCGCCCUGCUUAGGCAGUGCGCAGCCUUUUCGUCUUUCAACUCCUCGGCCGCCCUCGAGGCAGCCGCGUCACUCCUUCGGGCUUGCUCCUUAGCUAGAGCAAGUUCGGCCCGAAGGCUCUCAAUAGCAGCAGCACCGUCUGUACGAACAGCAUAUAAUUUAUCAGAGGCGGGCUUUGACCCCCUUAAUAAAGCGACUGCGGAGAACUCUUUUACCUUGCGACUCAUCAAGUCGCCUGUUGACAAGUGCGAUGUCCUCAUCUGCCAAGUCAAGUUGCUGAGUUAAUUCGGUAAACUCACUAGUCCGGCUAGCCCCCGGACUAUCCGCCACCUGCAUAGGAAUGACGGAAUCGAUUACUUUAGAUUUCGAUCCUCGGUACGCUGUCGUUUCCGACAACCUACUGAGUCUCAGGGGCUACUAUCUAUACUGGGCGCAUUGUUAUAUGCAAAACUGUUAAAAGACAAAGGGGCGCGUCAUUCUCGUAUACCUCAAAUCCCGCCAGCAAACUCAUGGCGGCAUUACGCAAUCCGCUUUCGGCGGACGAAAUCCUUCCAAUCACCAUACGCAUCAACGCACGGUGAUCUUCUGAAAUGGACUCCCUCUCAAGAAGACUCUUCAGUUCUCCCGGCCGGAUACUAGUGGGUGCCGAACUCUCUGGCCCCUCCGGACUCGGGGAUACCCUCCGUGACGACACUUCGGGUUCGCCUGCCUCAUCUCGCGGCGCUGCGGACGGAGGCGUAUCACUCUCCAUCAUCUCCGGAAGAAGGUCCCCCGAAGAUGAACUCAUCUGAGAAGGCUGCAGAUCCGAACUGCAAUAUAAAUAUUUCGGUUACCCACAGAAGCACAAAUGAAGGUAUUUCCUUACUAAUUAACUUCCUCUUUCAUACUCACGGCUCGUUGGAGGGCUGGUCCUUCGGCGAUGAUUGCGCGCCCGGAUUCUCUCCGGACGCCGGACCCCCCGGUGAAGAUCUCUUCCCACGCUUAGGGGCUUUGGCCUCCGGAUCUUCGGAGGCGGUCCUCUUCUCCCCCUGAAGGGAGGGAUUCUUGGUUCCCCCCUCUUCAGUCACCCCUUUGGGCGAAAUAUUAGCUCCUCUAUUUUCCCCGUCGCCCCCUUCUGUGGGCGCAACCUCCAACAUUCUGACCAG